rnacentral:rRNA from 1 species
CCUACGGGAGGCAGCAGUGGGGAAUAUUGGACAAUGGGGGCAACCCUGAUCCAGCCAUGCCGCGUGUGUGAAGAAGGCCCUCGGGUUGUAAAGCACUUUCAGUGAGGAAGAACGCCUGGUGGUUAAUACCCAUCAGGAAAGACAUCACUCACAGAAGAAGCACCGGCUAACUCCGUGCCAGCAGCCGCGGUAAUACGGAGGGUGCGAGCGUUAAUCGGAAUUACUGGGCGUAAAGCGCGCGUAGGUGGCUGGAUAAGCCGGUUGUGAAAGCCCCGGGCUCAACCUGGGAACGGCAUCCGGAACUGUCAAGCUAGAGUGCAGGAGAGGAAGGUAGAAUUCCCGGUGUAGCGGUGAAAUGCGUAGAGAUCGGGAGGAAUACCAGUGGCGAAGGCGGCCUUCUGGACUGACACUGACACUGAGGUGCGAAAGCGUGGGUAGCAAACAGGAUUAGAUACCCCGGUAGUC